rnacentral:rRNA from 1 species
AGAGUUUGAUCCUGGCUCAGGACGAACGCUGGCGGCGUGCCUAAUACAUGCAAGUCGAGCGAAGUUUUUCUGGUGCUUGCACUAGAAAAACUUAGCGGCGAACGGGUGAGUAACACGUAAAGAACCUGCCUCAUAGACGGGGACAACUAUUGGAAACGAUAGCUAAUACCGGAUAACAGCAUAAAUCGCAUGAUAUAUGUUUAAAAGUUGGUUUCGGCUAACACUAUGAGAUGGCUUUGCGGUGCAUUAGCUAGUUGGUGGGGUAAAGGCCUACCAAGGCGACGAUGCAUAGCCGACCUGAGAGGGUGAUCGGCCACACUGGGACUGAGACACGGCCCAGACUCCUACGGGAGGCAGCAGUAGGGAAUCUUCCGCAAUGGGCGAAAGCCUGACGGAGCAACGCCGCGUGAGUGAAGAAGGAUUUCGGUUCGUAAAGCUCUGUUGUUAGGGAAGAAUGAUUGUAUAGUAACUAUAUACAGUAGAGACGGUACCUAACCAGAAAGCCACGGCUAACUACGUGCCAGCAGCCGCGGUAAUACGUAGGUGGCAAGCGUUGUCCGGAAUUAUUGGGCGUAAAGCGCGCGCAGGUGGUUUAAUAAGUCUGAUGUGAAAGCCCACGGCUCAACCGGGGAGGGUCAUUGGAAACUGUUAAACUUGAGUGCAGGAGAGAAAGUGGAAUUCCUAGUGUA